AGCACUAAGUGUUCUGAACCUCUGAGUUUGCUCUCCAACCCAUCCCACUGCUCCUUAAUGUUUGGUUUGCUUUUUGUUUUGUUUUUUGAGAGAUAGGAGAGGGAGUCGUCCUCCAGUUCACUAUGUAGGCGGCACUGACCUUAAACUCACCAUCCUCUUGCCUUAACCUCCUCAAUGCUGGAAUUAAAGGUGUGUACCACUGAACCAGGGUCAGACCUUUCCAAGUGAUUAAUCUUAUAUUCCAAUACCCAUAUUAUAAUAAUAAGUUUUCUCUUCUGAUUUGAAAUACUAUUCUCAUGUGAUCUAACUUUGAUCUAUUCUUAUCCUUUUGCUUUACUCAUACUGGGCUUUUUGUUUUGUUGUGGGUUUUUGUGCUUUAUAUAUUUGUUACAAAUUUUUGUUAUGCCAAAGUAGAAAAUAAAUGCAUCGAUAAAUGUGAAAAUGAAAGAGUGGUGUAUGUUACUAUUUGAAAUGAGAGACUUGGCAAUUUGAUAUUUGUGUUUACAGUUACUGGUCAUUAGACUCAUCAUAAAAUAACUGUGUGUAGGUCGGAGAUGACAAAACUGUGAAGCAGUGGAAAAUGGAUGGACCAGGCUGCGGAGAGGAGGAGGAACCGUUGUACACGGUGUUAGGAAAGACAGUAUAUACUGGCAUUGAUCAUCACUGGAAAGACC
rnacentral:lncRNA from 1 species